rnacentral:rRNA from 13 species
CUCCGAAUGGGGCAUGAUAUACACGGCAGUGAGGGCCGGGGUGCUAAGGUCCCGGUCCGAGAGGGGAACAACCCAGAGCAUCAGCUAAGGUCCCAAAAUAUAUGCUAAGUUGAACUAAGGGGGUCCGACUGCAGAGACAGCCAGGAUGUUAGCUUGGAAGCAGCUAUACAUUUAAAGAGUGCGUAACAGCUCACUGGUCGAGCGGGGCGGGCAUCGAUAAUAAACGGGCAUCAAGCAUAUUACCGAAGCUAUGCGAUAGUAAUUUAUUACGAUCGGUAGGGGAGCAUUCU